UUUUUACAUUUUCUAAAUAAAAACAUUAUUAACUAUUCAUUUAAUCACACUUUAACCAAUAAUAAAAUAGAUUAUAUAAUACCACUAGUUAUAUAAUAUAAAUUAUUAAUAAAUUUUAUAUUGAAAAUUUAAAACAUUAUCUCAUUUGAAACAAAUGUUUUUUUCUAAAACGUUAAAUAAUAAAAUACGGAGGAAUUUUAUAAGACCAAAAAAUGUAUGGUUUAAGCUGAGAUGAGAUGGAACGUUAUAAAAGACCUAUGUAAAAUUAUACAUUCAAGAAACUGAAUAGCAUUUUCCACAUUCAGCUUCAUUACACAAACAGGAACAGCACACCACUCUAAAUAGCAUAUAGCUCAUGCUUCAACAAAGUGAAAGCAAACAAGUACCUUUACUCGUAUACAUAAUCAUAUUUCAUCUCAUGUGCUAUAUUUUAAUUUCACAACACUAGAGAACACAGCAACAUCCACACACAACACAAACCUUUUCUGUAAAUUAACAGAAUCUAGAAGGACCAAGACUAAAAGAAUACAUAUACUUAUCAUGUGACAGAGCUUUUGGGGUGUUUCAGUCACUGAAGUCCACACUUCCACUGCGUGAGCUGCUUCCAUCUUGGCUAUGCAAAGAAA